GUCAGAAUAGCCGAGCGGUCUGAGGCGCCAGAUUUAAGCUCUGGUCCUCGUAAAAGGGCGUGGGUUCGAACCCCACUUCUGACA
rnacentral:tRNA from 1 species